rnacentral:rRNA from 1 species
CAACCCUUGACAUCGCAGGACCGCACCGGAGACGGUGUUUUCUCGUAAGAGACCUGUGGACAGGUGCUGCAUGGCUGUCGUCAGCUCGUGUCGUGAGAUGUUCGGUUAAGUCCGGCAACGAGCGCAACCCACGUCCCUAGUUGCCAGCAUUCAGUUGGGCACUCUAUGGAAACUGCCGAUGAUAAGUCGGAGGAAGGUGUGGAUGACGUCAAGUCCUCAUGGCCCUUACGGGUUGGGCUACACACGUGCUACAAUGGUGGUGACAACGGGUUAAUCCCCAAAAGCCAUCUCAGUUCGGAUUGUCCUCUGCAACUCGAGGGCAUGAAGUUGGAAUCGCUAGUAAUCGCGGAACAGCAUGCCGCGGUGAAUACGUUCCCGGGCCUUGUACAU